rfam:Myotis brandtii contig239344, whole genome shotgun sequence.
GGCAGUUCUCGGGUGACACACCCCUGAAUUGGGCUCCCUCCUCUCUGGUUCUGGUGCUUCACCCAAGAAUCUCA